UGGGGAAUAUUGCACAAUGGGCGAAAGCCUGAUGCAGCGACGCCGCGUGAGCGAAGAAGUAUCUCGGUAUGUAAAGCUCUAUCAGCAGGGAAGAAAAUGACGGUACCUGACUAAGAAGCCCCGGCUAACUACGUGCCAGCAGCCGCGGUAAUACGUAGGGGGCAAGCGUUAUCCGGAUUUACUGGGUGUAAAGGGAGCGUAGACGGAGAGGCAAGUCUGAUGUGAAAACCCGGGGCUCAACCCCGGGAGUGCAUUGGAAACUGUUUAUCUAGAGUGCCGGAGGGGUAAGUGGAAUUCCUAGUGUAGCGGUGAAAUGCGUAGAUAUUAGGAGGAACACCAGUGGCGAAGGCGGCUUACUGGACGGUAACUGACGUUGAGGCUCGAAAGCGUGGGGAGCAAACAGGA
rnacentral:rRNA from 1 species